AUUGAACGCUGGCGGCAGGCCUAACACAUGCAAGUCGAGCGGAGCGGCGGACGGGUGCGUAAUGCCUAGGAAUCUGCCUGGUCGUGGGGGAUAACGUCCGGUACCGGGCGCUAAUACCGCAUACUAUCAGAUGAGCCUCGGUCGGAUUAGCUAGUUGGUGGGGUAAAGGCAUACCAAGGCGACGAUACGUAACUGGUCCGAGAGGAUGAUCAGUCACCCUGGAACUGAGAGACGGGCCAGACCCCUACGGGAGGCAGCAGUGGGGAAUAUUGGACAAUGGGCGAAAGCCUGAUCCAGCCAUGCCGCGUGUGUGAAGAAGGUCUUCGGAUUGUAAAGUACGUUAAGUUGGGAGGCGUUACCAACAGAAUAAGCACCGGCUAACUUCGUGCCAGCAGCCGCGGUAAUUC
rnacentral:rRNA from 1 species